ACAACUGCUGUAACUGCCGUGAGAGAUUAGACAAUAAAGCCUAGAGAAGAAUCAAGACCUUGGGCGUGUUGCUUCGGUCCCUGAAGGGUCGCGACAAGUGGUGCCGAACCCCGGGAAUCGCUAAACCUCGUCGCGACCUGAUCCGCUGACCCUGGUGCCUGCCGAUGAACGUCGCUGGACGCCGUUCGGUCGGCUGGCCAGACCGGGAGAGGGAACCGAGGAGGGACCAGCAGAACCCCGUUUGGGUGCCUGAAUGUCUGAUACGCAGAGUGGAAAACCCCAGAGUAGAGGUACAAAAUGAUCGCACUGCUUCUGCUCCUGCCGUGGAUCCUACAGCAGGCUACGGCGGAGCCGAGCUGCAGCUGCAGCCACCGCCACGCUGACUAUCACCAUUCCUACGGCAGAGACGCUGAAUGGUCUGUCCCAGGCCACUGAACCUUCUUCAAGAACAAUUGGACCUCUUGGGGGAGGUUUUGUCUGUGGGCUGCGUCCAUUCUUAUACGGGGGUGUAUUACUGGUAUUCCUUUUCAUAAUUAUUCUAAAGCUGCCAACUUGUCCAGACAGUUAGGCAAGAUGUUAAA